rnacentral:rRNA from 1 species
AGUCUCUCAAAUUUUCGCAACACGAUGAUGAAUCGGCAGUCAGAGGCGAUGAAGGACGUGCUAAUCUGCGAUAAGCGUCGGUGAGGUGAUAUGAACCGUUAUAACCGGCGAUUUCCGAAUGGGGAAACCCAGUGUGUUUCGACACACUAUCAUUAACUGAAUCCAUAGGUUAAUGAGGCGAACCGGGGGAACUGAAACAUCUAAGUACCCCGAGGAAAAGAAAUCAACCGAGAUUCCCCCAGUAGCGGCGAGCGAACGGGGAGGAGCCCAGAGCCUGAAUCAGUGUGUGUGUUAGUGGAAGCGUCUGGAAAGGCGUGCGAUACAGGGUGACAGCCCCGUACACAAAAAUGCACAUAUUGUGAGCUCGAUGAGUAGGGCGGGACACGUGGUAUCCUGUCUGAAUAUGGGGGGACCAUCCUCCAAGGCUAAAUACUCCUGACUGACCGAUAGUGAACCAGUACCGUGAGGGAAAGGCGAAAAGAACCCCGGCGAGGGGAGUGAAAAAGAACCUGAAACCGUGUACGUACAAGCAGUGGGAGCCUCUUAAUGGGGUGACUGCGUACCUUUUGUAUAAUGGGUCAGCGACUUAUAUUCUGUAGCAAGGUUAACCGAAUAGGGGAGCCGAAGGGAAACCGAGUCUUAACUGGGCGUUAAGUUGCAGGGUAUAGACCCGAAACCCGGUGAUCUAGCCAUGGGCAGGUUGAAGGUUGGGUAACACUAACUGGAGGACCGAACCGACUAAUGUUGAAAAAUUAGCGGAUGACUUGUGGCUGGGGGUGAAAGGCCAAUCAAACCGGGAGAUAGCUGGUUCUCCCCGAAAGCUAUUUAGGUAGCGCCUCGUGAAUUCAUCUCCGGGGGUAGAGCACUGUUUCGGCAAGGGGGUCAUCCCGACUUACCAACCCGAUGCAAACUGCGAAUACCGGAGAAUGUUAUCACGGGAGACACACGGCGGGUGCUAACGUCCGUCGUGAAGAGGGAAACAACCCAGACCGCCAGCUAAGGUCCCAAAGUCAUGGUUAAGUGGGAAACGAUGUGGGAAGGCCCAGACAGCCAGGAUGUUGGCUUAGAAGCAGCCAUCAUUUAAAGAAAGCGUAAUAGCUCACUGGUCGAGUCGGCCUGCGCGGAAGAUGUAACGGGGCUAAACCAUGCACCGAAGCUGCGGCAGCGACACUAUGUGUUGUUGGGUAGGGGAGCGUUCUGUAAGCCUGUGAAGGUGGCCUGUGAGGGUUGCUGGAGGUAUCAGAAGUGCGAAUGCUGACAUAAGUAACGAUAAAGCGGGUGAAAAGCCCGCUCGCCGGAAGACCAAGGGUUCCUGUCCAACGUUAAUCGGGGCAGGGUGAGUCGACCCCUAAGGCGAGGCCGAAAGGCGUAGUCGAUGGGAAACAGGUUAAUAUUCCUGUACUNNNNNNNNNNNNNNNNNGACAAAUGCCCUGCUUCCAGGAAAAGCCUCUAAGCAUCAGGUAACAUCAAAUCGUACCCCAAACCGACACAGGUGGUCAGGUAGAGAAUACCAAGGCGCUUGAGAGAACUCGGGUGAAGGAACUAGGCAAAAUGGUGCCGUAACUUCGGGAGAAGGCACGCUGAUAUGUAGGUGAAGCGACUUGCUCGUGGAGCUGAAAUCAGUCGAAGAUACCAGCUGGCUGCAACUGUUUAUUAAAAACACAGCACUGUGCAAACACGAAAGUGGACGUAUACGGUGUGACGCCUGCCCGGUGCCGGAAGGUUAAUUGAUGGGGUUAGCGGCAACGCGAAGCUCUUGAUCGAAGCCCCGGUAAACGGCGGCCGUAACUAUAACGGUCCUAAGGUAGCGAAAUUCCUUGUCGGGUAAGUUCCGACCUGCACGAAUGGCGUAAUGAUGGCCAGGCUGUCUCCACCCGAGACUCAGUGAAAUUGAACUCGCUGUGAAGAUGCAGUGUACCCGCGGCAAGACGGAAAGACCCCGUGAACCUUUACUAUAGCUUGACACUGAACA